CUAGACAGAUGGGCCUCGAUCCCAUGAAACUCUAGUUAACAGCUAGAUGCCCUAAACCAGCAGGCUUCCGUCUA
rnacentral:tRNA from 1 species